rnacentral:rRNA from 1 species
CAGCCGCCGCGGUAAUACGUAGGUGGCAAGCGUUGUCCGGAAUUAUUGGGCGUAAAGCGCGCGCAGGCGGUCCUUUAAGUCUGAUGUGAAAGCCCCCGGCUCAACCGGGGAGGGUCAUUGGAAACUGGGGGACUUGAGUGCAGGAGAGGGAAGUGGAAUUCCACGUGUAGCGGUGAAAUGCGUAGAGAUGUGGAGGAACACCAGUGGCGAAGGCGGCUUCCUGGCCUGUAACUGACGCUGAGGCGCGAAAGCGUGGGGAGCAAACAGGAUUAGAUACCCUGGUAGUCCACGCCGUAAACGAUGAGUGCUAAGGGUUAGGGGGUUUCCGCCCCUUAGUGCUGCAGCUAACGCAUUAAGCACUCCGCCUGGGGAGUACGGCCGCAAGGCUGAAACUUAAAGGAAUUGGCGGG